UAAAAAAUAAAAUUGUUUCGGGCUCGGCCCGAUCCUCCCACCCUUUGUGUACCUACCUCUGUUGCUUUGGCGGGCCGCGGUCCUCCGCGGCCGCCCCCCUCCCCGGGGGGGUGGCCAGCGCCCGCCAGAGGACCAUCAAACUCCAGUCAGUAAACGAUGCAGUCUGAAAAACAUUUAAUAAACUAAAACUUUCAACAACGGAUCUCUUGGUUCUGGCAUCGAUGAAGAACGCAGCGAAAUGCGAUAAGUAAUGUGAAUUGCAGAAUUCAGUGAAUCAUCGAAUCUUUGAACGCACAUUGCGCCCUUUGGUAUUCCGAAGGGCAUGCCUGUUCGAGCGUCAUUACAACCCUCAAGCUCUGCUUGGUAUUGGGCACCGUCCUUUGCGGGCGCGCCUCAAAGACCUCGGCGGUGGCGUCUUGCCUCAAGCGUAGUAGAACAUACAUCUCGCUUCGGAGCGCAGGGCGUCGCCCGCCGGACGAACCUUCUGAACUUUUCUCAAGGUUGACCUCGGAUCAGGUAGGGAUACCCGCUGAACUUAAGCAUAUCAAUAAGCGGAGGAA
rnacentral:rRNA from 1 species